UCUCCGUAGGUGAACCUGCGGAGGGAUCAUUACAGAGUUCUCGCCCUCGCGGUUAGAUCUCCCACCCACUGUUAUCGUUACUGUGUUGCUUUGGCGGGCCGCCGGGCCCCGCCCGGCCGCCGGCUCCGGCUGGCGCGCGCCCGCCAGAGGCACAGCAAACUCUGAAUGUUAGUGUCGUCUGAGUACUAUAUAAUAGUUAAAACUUUCAACAACGGAUCUCUUGGUUCUG
rnacentral:misc_RNA from 1 species